rnacentral:rRNA from 1 species
CAGUAGCCGCGGUAAUACGAAGGGUGCAAGCGUUAAUCGGAAUUACUGGGCGUAAAGCGUGCGUAGGCGGUUUGUUAAGUCUGUUGUGAAAUCCCCGGGCUCAACCUGGGAAUGGCAAUGGAUACUGGCAAGCUAGAGUGUGUCAGAGGAUGGUGGAAUUCCCGGUGUAGCGGUGAAAUGCGUGGAUAUCAAGAGGAACACUCGUGGCGAAGGCGAGCUACUGGACAACAUCUGACGCUGAGGCUCGAAGGCCAGGGUAGCGAAAGGGAUUAGAUACCCGCGUAGUCCCUGUCUCUUAUAC